UUCCACAUGAAAAAGCUAUCGCCUGUUUUGGUGCUGUCUUUUUGUCUCCACCUCCUCUCCACCAGUCACACCCCACUGAGAUACUACCCUAAGUGAUUUUCCAGGCAGAGGUG